UGCGCCGAAGGGCCCGGCCUCUCUGGGCGCGCCUCCCUGGCUGAAAGGCCGCAGGUGAGGGAGGAGCCCAGGCUGGAGACCCAGGCAGAGACAGUGGAUGACACUAUGGAACACCAGCCUGGACGCAACAUAUCAUUUGAGAACACAGAAAUGCUGGAAAUCUCUAACCACCACCAUGUCAGACUACACAGAGAAGCCACUGAAGCAUGUGGACAAUUUCAACAGAAAGGAGGAAACCAUGAAAAUGAACAAAACCUGGCUACCAAUAAUUAAAAAAUUCUAAAAUCAGGUCAGUAAAUAAAGAGCAACACCUAAGCAACAGGAAUUCCAGUCAUUAAACAAUCGGGGCCAGUUUCAGCCCAGGUUGGGAUGAGCUCCAACCAUCAGCUCAGCUUCUGCUCACCAAGCAGUUUGAAAACAGCAAUGUAAGUAGAUAAAUACUGGGCUGUGGCGCAGGCUGGUGAGCAGCCUGCUGCGAUAAAUCACUCUGACCAUGAGAUCAUGAGUUCGAGGCCAGCCUGUGGCGGGGUGAGCACCCGUCAAUUAAAAAAAAAAUAGCCCCUGCUCGUUGCUGACCUAACAACCCGAAAGAUAGUUGCAUCUAUCAAGUAGGAAAUAAGGUACCACUUAUAAAGUGGGGAAGCAAAUUUAACUAAUUUACGACAUUGGAAUGAGGAAGUGCCGUGACAGUGGACGAUGAAGCAGCUGCUCCCCCCUGUGGCCAGAAUCGAACAUCCCCUCAGGAGAAGUCUCUUACCGCCUUUCUGGAUGGCAUCUGCUCCGCAGCCAGGCCGGGAUGGGAGGAGGAAGGGCCUCAUUCCAGAUGGAUCACUGGGCACCCUGACCAGGGAAGGAGGUGGACGCACGAUGGAGACAGCAGUCCCAGGAAGAGGAUGGAUCUGAAAAGAGAAAGUUAAAGGUAAAGGCUUCCCCUGACAUUAAGUCUAGUCAUGUUCGAAUCUGUGGGUUAGUGCUCAUCUCUAUUUCUAAGCCUCAGAGCCGGCAUUGUCCGUAGAUACCUGCUAGGCCAUGUGGCCGGCAUGACUCCAUGGAGCGCUGUUACCUUCCUGCCAGACCAGUAUAUAUUGAUCUACUCACAUUUGCAUGUUUUUGAACUGAUAGGUUGGCAGAAUCUGGGGCUAACAGUGGGAGCUCACCCCACUGGCUGGAUUCGAACCACUGACCUUCUGGUCAGUAGGUUCAGCAGCUCAGUGGUUUGAUCCACUGCGCCACCGGGUGCAUCCCUCCCUCUAUUUUCCCAACUCACCUUAAUCUUCUAGAUCUUCAAUAAUUAGACUUGGUUCUUUUUCACUAAAAGAAACAAAAAAAUUGUUAGUACAUAACACCCAAAGACUCCCCCAGCCCAAAAAAAGGCCCAACCCACACCCAAAAAGUGAGAAGAAGUUACCUCGAUUCCUGGGACUGCUGACUCCACCGUGCGUCCUCAUCACUUCCACUGGCCAGGGUGCUCUGUCAAGGAAAGAGAAGAGCAAAGUGAAAUCCCGUCCUCCCCUUCCCCUUUGCAGGAAGACAGGGCGCCUGCAUUUCGCUCCUUACCCAGGACUCCUCGGAUAGACUGGGGCCCUUCCUCCUCGCAUCCUGGCCGGGCUGCGAAACAGAUGCCAUCCAUUGGUGCUGUGGAAGGAAGAGAAGAGACUUAGUUGAAAUUCUGGUCCCCUCCUCUUCGCAGAAGUACAAUCCUCUUGCCUUCCCUUCUUACCCAGGUCUCCAUUUCUGUGAUCUCAUCGGAGGAGGAGGCCUCCAGAUCUUCCUUUGGAGGACUAGAGAAGAGGAAGAGAAAACAGCAAAACAUUAGUCACAGAACCCUGUGAAGCAAUUUAGAAGGGAAAAAAACAACCAGAAGAGAAGGGGGAAGGGCUUACCUUACAGGGUAUAUUUUAAUACUCCUCCUCCCCCGACAGCAUUUGCAACAAUUUAAACAUAAUUUCUGGAUGUUCUGCAAAAGAGAAAGGAGAACAAGGUUUGUAGGUUGUGUUUCUUCAUCAGUUUGCCUAUGCGGUCAAGGUUGGACUUCUGCAAUGCUAACGAAGAAACACAACCUAGAAACUAUCUACAGACCCACUAAGAAAAUCCAACAAAUGCUCCAUUCAGCAAAGGAGAAGAGGGAUCCUCUCACCUCUGCAGGAGUCUACCGUAUACCAUGCAGCUGUGGACAAGUCUACAUAGGGACCACCAAACGCAGCAUUGCCCAGAAACGAGUCAAAGAACAUGAAAGGCACUGCAGACUAACUCAACCAGAGGAAUCAGCCAUAGCAGAGUACUUGAUGAACCAACCUGGACACAGUAUAUUAUUUGAGAACACAGAAAUGCUUGACCACUCCAACAACUAUCAUGUCAGACUACACAGAGAAGCCAUUGAAAUCCAUAAGCAUGUGGACAACUUCAACACAAAGGAGGAAACCAUGAAAAUGAACAAAAUCUGGCUACCAUUGUUUAAAAAAACCCUCCAAAAUCAGAACAGUAAAUAAGAAGCAGCACUCUGAAAACAGAAGAAUUCCAGACAGAAAUCAAUCAGGGACAGCUAAUGACUCUGAACAAAGGAUUCCCCCAGGCCAGGAUGUGAGGCUGGGAGGGCCAUUUAAUGCUAACAAAGGUUAUUAAUUACAACAUUCACACUGGCCUCCAACAGACAAGAGUUCUUCCCCCCACCUAGGAACUUCCACAGAUAUAUAAACCUUCCUUGCUUAGUUUCUCCAUACCUCACAACCUCUGAGGAUGCCUGCCAUAGAUGUGGGCGCAAUGUCAGGAGACAAUACUUCUGGAACAUGGCCAUACAGCCCGGAAAACACACAACAACCCUUUAGAGAAGCUAUUUUUUUGGUUUUUCUUAUUUUGCAACCUAGUUUUGGUCCCUCUUUUUUGUAAAAUUGUUCUAAUAGUACUUGAAGAAAUGAGAGGAGGAGGAAAAAGAGGAAGAAGUCUUUUGGGUAAUUAACAGACCAUGAGGCAACACAUUAAUAUUUAUUAGAACAAAAUAAAGAAAUCAUCUUAAAUACAAAUAUCAUUAGAAAAAAAUACAAUAAUAUAAAACAUAUGUUAUUUCCGAUAUCACAGUUUGUUGUGGAGUCACAGGCCAAUGCGGGUAUAAUUCAAAAGUAUUAUUUAAUAUCCAUAAAAAUAGUAUGAAAGAUUGAUUACAUUUUAAACUGGAGAACAGAUCCAAAUGCUAUUAAUGUAACAUAAUCUUAUGGGUUUUAACAGCAGAAAAUAAGUUUGCAAAUACUUCCGUUCUCAGAAGCCACCAAUUUCUGUAAAAGGACAGAGGAAUGGAGAGUUGGGAUCCCUCUCUGCAAGAAGUCCAGAUCCAACCCAAAGUGAACUGCUCAGGUAUUCUCAAACUGGUUCGUAAACCUGUUUGGAGCACCGUUUCUUGCGAUAAACCAAAUGACUAAUGAAAUUGUAAUUAUCUUCUGAUUCUCCUUGUGGAGAUUCUUUUUGGUAUGGGCCAUCAUUCCUUUCUAUGAGCCCCAAAUGCAAUAAAAUAGUCCAGAUAUAUACCCCACAGGCUUACUGUGACAAAUAGACUGUAGGGGACAUUCCCCUUACAGAUGGUCCUAUUUUCCAACACAAAUGCUGCUUCCCAGACAUUAAACUGAUUGGAAUAAUCUAAAAUAUGCCUCAUUUUCCAUGAGGAAUCCCAACCUAGCAAAUAAAACAAUAUGUUAUCCAUGUUUCCUGCAAUGCUUCAAAGUGUAGAUGACCAAACAACCAGGUAUCGGCAGGCGGCCCCUUUAAUUUCCAUUCCACCUAAGUCACAGAGACUACAAAAACAACAUUUUAAUUUAAAAUUCAAUUUCUGACUCUGCAUCUUUUCACUGGCACUGCCACAGAGCGGGUAUUUCAUUAAAGGGUUUAAUAGAUUUUGUGAGUUGUUAGAUUCAAAAAGGUUAUGCAUUCUCUCUGCUUCCAGGAUUCAGACAGCAGUCCAGUAAACAAAUUUACCACGAAAAUAGAGGCAGGAUGCUGAAAAGGGGGAGGAUGGACACCCCCAUGGAUAUAGUUAUGUAUGGAGGGGGCAGACCCAUUUGUUCCAUUUACUGAUCAUGUUGACAUCAGGGCUUUUGAAAAAAAGAGUCUGUGAUGAAAUUUAUUUGAAAAGCAUUCCCAAUAAUGACAGAUUUAAAACAAGCUUCUCCAGGACUGAUUGGUAAACUCUUAAAGAACUAGCCAAUGACAAAAACAUCAUAUGGAAACCUGCUGACAAGGGGGGUGCCAUCGUUGCAAUGAACACAACGAAUUAUAUGCAGGAGGUAUAUAGACAACUGUCAGUCAAAGAGCAUUAUUCUCUUGUAGAUAAAGUCCCGACCAAACAUAUUCAAUUCAUCAUAAGAACCAUAAUUCUGGAAGGACUUAGUUUAGAUUAUAUCACAGAAAAAGAAAAAAGAUUUCCUUAUGACCUCACAUCCAUGCAUUCCGGUCUUAUAGACACUACCUAAAAUACACAAAGACAUCAGGCCACCUUUGGGCCGGCCCAUUGUAUCUGGGUCUGGCUCAGUCCUCGAACCACUAUCCAGAUUGGUUGACUCUUUUUUACAGCCCUUUGUCAAACAAACUAUGUCAUAUAUCAAGGACACCAAACAUUUCAUUAACAUCAUAGAGAAACAGAGUAAUAUGGGACAGAUGAGACAAUAGGGGAUAUGCAACCCAAAAUAGAGUUUGGCUACUCUCAACAAAUUCAAGUCUCCAGAGCCAGAUGAACGAUGUCCAUGAAUAUUGAGGGAACUGGCAGAAGUCAUUUCAGAACCACUGGAAAUAAUCUUUGAGAAUUCUUAGAGAACAGGAGAAGUCCCAGCAGAUUGGAGGAAGGCCAAUGUUGUCCCUAUCUUCAAGAAGAGAAAAAAAGGGCGCUAACUAUUACUGUGCAGGCAGCCUGACGUCAAUACCAGGAAGGAUUCUGGAGCAGAUCAUUGAGGAGGCAGUUUGCAACCACUUAGAAAAGAAUGCUAUGAUCACUAAAAUUCCCCAGUGAUUCUCAAAACAGGUCACGCCAGACUAAUCUUAUCUGGGAAAGAGAAAGUUGAGAGGGGACACGAUAGUCUUGUAUAAAUAUUUGAAAGGAUAAGGUAGAGGGAGCAGGCUUGUUUCCUGCUGCCCUGGAGAUUAGAACUCGGAGCAGUGGGUUAAAAAUUACAGGAAAGGAUAUUCCACUUGAUCACUAGGAAGAACUUUCUGACUAUAAGAGCUGUUCAACAUUGGAAUUCACUGCCUCAGAAUGUGGUGGAAGCUCCUGCUUUGGAGGCUUUUAAACAAAGCCUGGAUGGCUAUCUGUCAGGGGUACUUUGUGCUUCUCCUGCAUGGCAGAGGGUUGGACUAGAUGGCACAUGUGGUCUCUUCCAACUGUUCUUACAGAUAAUCUAGGUCUCUGUAACGGAUUGGCCUACCUUGCAGGGUUGGUGUGUCAAGACAGAUCAAGGCCUUAGUAAGAAAGACAAAGCCAGGCAAGGGGAGGAGUGAUCAGGCAGCUCCACUCUAUGGAAGUGCAGUCUGAUUGGUUGGUGCAAUUGGAGGGAUUUGCUUAGCAAGAGGAGGUAGGCAGGGCCAGCAAGACAGGAAUUGCUCUUCAACCAGAAAGCGAGUGAGUUAGGGAUUGGAGUGAGAAGAAUCCGAGUUUGGAGUUUUGAAAAGGAAGGAAGGAAGGUUUUGGGAACUGUUAGUGAGAAAGCUCUUUGAGGGAAAAGUUAAACUAGGGCUAGGAAUUGUAGCGAGCCUCUAUGGGUGAAUAGUGCUUGUGUUAAGAGCCUCUGGAAGAGAGGACUCAAACGUUCAAAAAGCCUGUAAGAAAAUCCCACAGACAGACUACAAAAAGAGGCACAACUAUGUGGCCCAAAUGAUUCAUUGGAACUUAUGCCUCAAGUACCACCUGCCAGCAGCAAAGAACUGGUGGGGUCACAAACUUGCAAAAGUAUUGGAAAAUGAGCAUGCAAAGAUACUGUGGGACUUCUGAAUCCAGACUGACAAAGUUCUGGAACACAACACUACAGACAUCACAGUUGUGCAAAAGAAAAAGGUUUGGAUCAUUGAUGUUGCCAUCCCAGGUGACAGUUGCAUUGACGAAAAACAACAGGAAAAACUAAGCCGCUAUCAGGAUCUCAAGAUUGAACUUCAAAGAUUCUGGCAGAAACCAGUGCAGGUGGUCCCGGUGGUGAUCGGCACACUGGGUGCCGUGCCAAAAGAUCUCAGCAGGCAUUUGGAAACAACAGACAUUGACAAAAUUACGAUCUGCCAACUGCAAAAGGCCACCCUACUGGGAUCUGUGUGCAUCAUCCGAAAAUACAUCACACAGUCCUAGACACUUGGGAAGUGUUCUACUUGUGAUUUUGUGAAACAAAAUCCAGCAUAUCUAUCUUGUUUGCUAUGUCAUACAAUAAUAAUAAUAAUAAUAAUAAUAAUAAUAAUAAUAAUAAUAAUAAUAAUAACCAAGAACUUACUUUUAGCAGUCUCCGGGCAGACAUGUUUGUCUCUGUACAAGACCAGAAGACAAUAGAGAUGGCAACGUUCCGUUUUGUCUUCCUGUCACAGACGGAACCGGUCUGCUUCGGAACUGCAUUCUCAUGACAAUGGUGUAAACCAAGGGGCCCCAGACUCCAGGGAAGUGAUGGCCCCUUUCUGAACCCAUAUACAUUGGGUAGUUGCCCUACCAAAUUAGAAAACAGUGUUAACAAAUUAAAAAACAAUUAGAAGAAAAAAGUGUCCAACGCAUUAUACAUGGCCUCCAAAAUCAUGACCAGAAGACCUCUCGGAAAUCCACUCAUUUGUAAAAAAACAUUCAAGGGUUGCCACAUCCCCUGUCUGUCUGAGAACAGACGCUGGUCCCACCAGUUACAAACACAUAUUUAGUUAUAUCAUGCAAAAGUGAAUGAAACUACCCAAUCUACAGUUGUCUCUGUUGUCCAAGGCCAUCUUUCACCUAUAUAUGUUUUCUCGUUUCUGGCCAUUCCAGUUAGAUAAGCGAGUGUUGGAUAAGUGAGACUACUGUAUCUUUAAGGUUAAUAAAUAGUACAAAGUAUAGUCCCACAUCAUCAGGAGAUUGAACUCCUUUCAAUUUAAACAAUAUUACAAUAACUGUGAAUUGGUCCAAAAGAUUUAAUUCAUAAAGCCAAAAAAGAGAGAUGUUACUCAAACAUGCUGCAUCAAAUAUAUGCUGAGCUCUGUGUUCACAUGUCAGAAGGAAAACACAGUUGAACCAUUGUCUUUUUUUUUUUUUUUUGCCUUUGACGACAAUGUAACUUUUUCUGGGAGAACUACAAUACUUAUCUAUAUAGGCACGUGAGCUGAAUGUUGCAUUGUGGUACUCUGCACUUUUAAACCCCCCUUAUAAUAAUAAUAUAAUACAUUUUAUUUAUACCCCACCCCCUCUCCCCAAAGUGACUUGGGGAGACUUCCUGAUCUUCAAUAAGCUGUUCCUUUCGUCUUUAUCAAGAAGCUCACAAAUUGCUUGUUCUUGAAGUGGGUGUCCUGGUCAAAGUUUAGUUAUUUUUCAAAGUUGGUUUAUAGCAUCUACAUUUACCGCUAGGAGAGAUCAUCUGGAGGCAUGGGGCAGGGGGCUAUCAGUAUGCUGAUGACACCCAAAGAUGUUUCUCCAUGCCAUGAAAAACACUGUUAUCUCAGGAUAGCGGGUCUCCUUGGAAUGAAUGCCUGGAGGAAGUAAUGGGCAGGAUGAGGAGAAACAAAUUGAAACUGAAUCCAGACAAGACAUCGAGAGCACUAUGGGUGGAUCAACCAGUUCUGGAUAGGGUUACACUCCCCAUUAAAGUCUUUGGUCUCAGCUUGUGGGGGGUGCGCCCCUCGAUCCCUCUCUUGAAAUGUAAGAACAGGAAGAUGUGAUGGUCAGGAGUGCUUAGUACCAGCUUCAGCUGAUACGCCAGUUGUGCCCCUUCCAAGAAUUGCAGGACCUUAAGAAGGCUGGAUUCCUGCAAUGCUCUUUACAUUGUGCUGCCUCUGUACCAAGUUUGGAAAUUCCGAUUAGUUCAAAACAAGGCAGGGAAACUAGUUAUAGGAACAUCUAGGAGUGAUUCCACUGGUUUUGGAAAGCCUACCCAGUCUGUUUUAACUAUGGCUUUUACAUCAUAUUCUGUGUUUUUGUAUUUUAAUAUGUGCAUGUUUUAAAAUAUGCACUUCUGGUUGCAUUUAACUUAGCUUUCUUACAUGAUUUCAUAGAUGUAUUUAAUUAGGUUGUGUCUUCCCUCAGGCCACAUAGAGAGGUAAGCAAUAAAUAAAAGAUGAUGAUUAUG